rfam:Asian citrus Psyllid, Diaphorina citri - Florida Strain, whole genome shotgun sequence.
UGGUUGGUAGCGCGAUUGCCUUGUAAGCACCAGGCCGCGGGUUCGAUUCCCGCCCAGGCAG